GACGAACGCUGGCGGCGUGCUUAACACAUGCAAGUCGAACGGUAAGGCUCCAGCUUGCUGGGGUACACGAGUGGCGAACGGGUGAGUAACACGUGGGUGACCUGCCCUGCACUUCGGGAUAAGCCUGGGAAACUGGGUCUAAUACCGGAUAGGACCGCACCGUGAGGGUGUGGUGGAAAGUUUUUUCGGUGUGGGAUGGGCCCGCGGCCUAUCAGCUUGUUGGUGGGGUAAUGGCCUACCAAGGCGGCGACGGGUAGCCGGCCUGAGAGGGUGGACGGCCACAUUGGGACUGAGACACGGCCCAGACUCCUACGGGAGGCAGCAGUGGGGAAUAUUGCACAAUGGGCGGAAGCCUGAUGCAGCGACGCCGCGUGGGGGAUGACGGCCUUCGGGUUGUAAACUCCUUUCACCAUCGACGAAGGGUUUCUGACGGUAGAUGGAGAAGAAGCACCGGCUAACUACGUGCCAGCAGCCGCGGUAAUACGUAGGGUGCGAGCGUUGUCCGGAAUUACUGGGCGUAAAGAGCUCGUAGGUGGUUUGUCGCGUCGUCUGUGAAAUUCCGGGGCUUAACUCCGGGCGUGCAGGCGAUACGGGCAUAACUUGAGUACUGUAGGGGAGACUGGAAUUCCUGGUGUAGCGGUGAAAUGCGCAGAUAUCAGGAGGAACACCGGUGGCGAAGGCGGGUCUCUGGGCAGUAACUGACGCUGAGGAGCGAAAGCAUGGGGAGCGAACAGGAUUAGAUACCCUGGUAGUCCAUGCCGUAAACGGUGGGCGCUGGGUGUGGGUUUCCUUCCACGGGAUCCGUGCCGUAGCUAACGCAUUAAGCGCCCCGCCUGGGGAGUACGGCCGCAAGGCUAAAACUCAAAGGAAUUGACGGGGGCCCGCACAAGCGGCGGAGCAUGUGGAUUAAUUCGAUGCAACGCGAAGAACCUUACCUGGGCUUGACAUAUACAGGAUCGCGCCAGAGAUGGUGUUUCCCUUGUGGCUUGUAUACAGGUGGUGCAUGGUUGUCGUCAGCUCGUGUCGUGAGAUGUUGGGUUAAGUCCCGCAACGAGCGCAACCCUUGUCUUAUGUUGCCAGCACGUUGUGGUGGGGACUCGUAAGAAACUGCCGGGGUUAACUCGGAGGAAGGUGGGGAUGACGUCAAAUCAUCAUGCCCCUUAUGUCCAGGGCUUCACACAUGCUACAAUGGUCGGUACAGUGGGUUGCCAGUCCGUGAGGGCGAGCUAAUCCCGCAAAGCCGGUCUCAGUUCGGAUCGGGGUCUGCAACUCGACCCCGUGAAGUCGGAGUCGCUAGUAAUCGCAGAUCAGCAACGCUGCGGUGAAUACGUUCCCGGGCCU
rnacentral:rRNA from 1 species